UUGCAUUUGACUAGCGUGUAUGGUGAGCGUGCGCUUCUUGGCCACGUGAUGAUCCACGUCAAUUAAUGAAAGAUCAUCAAACGGUCCACGCUUUUUCUCUUUUUUCUAAUUUCUGAUUUUAUUUCUUUUAUUUCUUUUAAUUCCAUUUCUUUUUAAAAAUUCAUCUCUCUCUCAUUAUUGGUCCAAAAAAUAUGAGACCAAUUUCAUUUUUCUCCUUUUAAUUUCUACUUUCUAAAAAUGAUUUUUAAUAUUUUUUAUUUUAUCAUUUGCUAUUUUUUAGUAAUUUUCUCUUUUCUGCUUAUUUUUAAUUCAUUUAAAAUAGUUUUUGAUAUCCAAA
rnacentral:lncRNA from 1 species